rnacentral:rRNA from 1 species
UACGUAGGGUGCGAGCGUUAAUCGGAAUUACUGGGCGUAAAGCGUGCGCAGGCGGUUUUGUAAGUCAGACGUGAAAUCCCCCGGCUUAACCUGGGAACUGCGUCUGAUACUGGACGGCUUGAGUAUGGGAGAGGGAUGUAGAAUUCCAGGUGUAGCGGUGAAAUGCGUAGAUAUCGGGAGGAACACCUGAGGCGAAGGCGGGCUACUGGGCCGAUACUGACGCUGAGGCGCGAAAGCCAGGGGAGCGAACGGG